rnacentral:misc_RNA from 2 species
CCGAGUUAGGGUGUCAAACUUAUGCGCCCGACCUCCAACCCUUUGUCUACUUGACCUUAUGUUGCUUCGGCAGGCCCGCUGGUGUCCCUUUGGGGCCCGGCCGCCGGGGGUCCUCGUGGCCCCGGGUCCGCGCCUGCCGAUGGCCCCUUCUUAAACUAUUGUUAAAACGUGUCGUCUGAGUUUAUGAUUAAACAAUCAAAACA